AAAUACCCGUAUGUCUUUUCACUUUUCCUCCCUGACUUUCAGAAAUUUAUAUUUUGCCCCUCUUAAAAUUUCAAAUUAUUGCAUUUAGCCCCCCCUCCCCCUCUCCUUCGCCGGAGUUCCAUUACUAUUCUGUCCAUUUUUUGUAAUUUAUACCGAAAAUAUCUUUCAAAAUUACAAAAAUAUAUUAAAAAAUUAUUUAUUUAUUUUUUUAUAGAAGAAGUUAGAAGAAUUUGGUCAUUUUGCCCUCUCCAUUAACACUUUACUGCUCUUAAAAUAUUUCUGAAAUUUUAAGGGAGCAAAAUAUAGGUUUUUGAAAAUUAGAGAGAGAAAGUGAAAAAGCAGGCAUUUAUAGGGAGAUUUUCUGUAAUUUAGCCUAAUUUUUGACUCGAACUUUCUGAAUUUUUUACAAUCUAGUCCCGCAAUCCAUUUUAGUUGAUCAAAUAUUAAUAAAUUAUUAAUAUAGAAGUAAGUGUUACGUAGCAUUAUAAUUAUUGUCGUAUUAGUAGUAACAAUAUAUACUUUUAUAUUAUUUUUACAUUAAUAAUUUGUCAGUAUUUAGCUAACUAAAUUAAGUUGCAGAACUUUAUUACAAUAAUUCAAAAAGUUUAAAUC
rnacentral:lncRNA from 1 species